rnacentral:rRNA from 1 species
AUACGGAGGAUCCAAGCGUUAUCCGGAUUUAUUGGGUUUAAAGGGUGCGUAGGCGGCAUGCUAAGUCAGGGGUGAAAGACGGUGGCUCAACCAUCGCAGUGCCUUUGAUACUGGCGUGCUUGAAUGCAGAUGAGGUAGGCGGAAUGAGACAAGUAGCGGUGAAAUGCAUAGAUAUGUCUCAGAACACCGAUUGCGAAGGCAGCUUACUAAACUGUGAUUGACGCUGAUGCACGAAAGCGUGGGUACCAAAUAGGAUUAGAUACCCUGGUAGUCCACGCCCUAAACGAUGAUAACUCGAUGUUUGCGAUAUACCGUAAGCGUCCAAGCGAAAGCGUUAAGUUAUCCACCUGGGGAGUACGCCCGCAAGGGUGAA